UUUUCAGGUUAGGUCUUAUUUUAGGGGAAACAGGGUAGGUGCAUUAAAACAUAUCUGUAGCAGAUUAAUGUAUCAAUUGAACCUUGCACAAACCAUAUGGUCAUUGAUAAACUGUCACUAACAAAUGCAGAUGUGAUACCUUGAUUGGGCACUGAAAAAUCAAACAUUCAGCAAACUUUUGUGGGUCAAGUCCACUUCUUCAGGGAUGCACCAAUAUUUUGUGUAUACAGUAGUGCAGAAAAAUUAUAAAUGAGAAUCUUAAAAAAAUAAUGGCAGUUAGUUGUGCCAGGUCUGCUUUUUAGAAGUGGAUUCAUUGGAGGUGUGGUUUUCAAACCACAGCCCAGGUAGCUGUUGGUUGGAUAUCAUCCCCCCAGUUCCUCAACAAAGUGUCACCAAGUCGUUUUAAUGUGCUCUGCCCCUCAUAUUAGUUUAUCUUGCUAUGUGUUACCCAGUCAGCCAUGUCUUCUUUGUUACUCUUUUACAGCAGUACAGUAUUCUGGGGCCAGAAGUAUAUAUAAUCCUAAUUGAUUUAUUUUGGCCACCACCACCCCAUUUCCCCUCUCCUCCUUAAAAUGUGUAUAGUUGAAAGGUUUCCUCUCCUGUUACCUUUUUCUUGUAUGGCAGUUGUGCUGUUUUGUACACUUAAAACAGCAGCUCUCACAUGUUGGAAAAUCACAAACAGAGGCAACAAGUGCAUACUCCUGUCCUGUGUUUCAGCCAGUCAAUCACGUUCUUCCUUUGCUCUUGUUUUUUUUUUUGCUGCCCCAGCUUUCAUUACACUGCUGUUGAGUACAUAGGCUGGAUUCCUCCUUAGGCUGUUUAGGGGAGUUUGCCAUUUAGUUCCCCCCCUUUUUUGGUACUUCUGAAAACCUUGGAUUUAUUCCACACCAGCUGACAUUUUUGUCUUGAGACUCAAGUGACAAAUAACUUCAUUUCCAAGCAAUAUGCCAUAUUAAGAACCAGCACAUUGAGAUGUCUGAUAACAGCCUUUUGUUUCACCAAUUCAAGUUAUCUGAGCAUUGCUACACAAUAAUCUUUCAGAGCUGGCAUAAGUGGGGGCAGAUCUCCAGUAAAGACAGAUAAAGAUGACUGGCCUCCAGUAAAGGUAAUAAGACAGAAUUGUAAAAUGCUUUUAAAAAUCUUUUAGAUGGCAUCAGCUUUGAGCCGCUCAUGGAGUUUUAAAUUUGUGAAGCACACCAAGGUUGGCAAUAGACCAAAUACCUAUUUUUGUAUUUAUUAUGGAGAUAUAAAGAUUUUUAGGGGACUGAUUUAUAAUUUCUGAAUGGAACAACACACUUCCUGUUACCUAUUUUAUAUGUUCUGAACUUGCACUGUUUCUGUAUUCUUGUUUUGUGUUCACAGUUCAGUAAACAUUGGACAUUUCUAAGAGCACUAUUUGUGUGAGUUGCUGUAUCCCUGCCACGGGUUAACUACAAUAAGGUACAUUAGCCUCACAUGUGGAAAAAGCCUCGCGCUUGGUUUCAGCCAAGCAGGUUCCAAUUUUGUAUAAUUUGCUUUACGUCUUUAUCUCAGCUGCUCCUUCACUCCUCCUUCCCCGUCUCGUCAUCAGAUAUUUGCUCCGCCCCCCGCCAAGGUGCCUCACUUUCUUCCGUCCACUCAAUGGCGGUUGGCGCAUGCGCAAUAGCGAGAGGUGGCCCAGGCCAUGGCGGCCGUUUAAAGGAAACUUGCUCGUUUACAAUUCCCAGUGUAGGAGAGGCCUCACAAUGUACCGGCGGGAAGG